rnacentral:rRNA from 1 species
ACGGGUGAGUAACACGUAAGGAACCUGCCUCAAGGAUUGGGAUAACUCCGAGAAAUCGGAGCUAAUACCGGAUAGUUCAUCGGACCGCAUGGUCCGUUGAUGAAAGGCGCUCCGGCGUCACCUUGAGAUGGCCUUGCGGUGCAUUAGCUAGUUGGUGGGGUAACGGCCCACCAAGGCGACGAUGCAUAGCCGACCUGAGAGGGUGAUCGGCCACACUGGGACUGAGACACGGCCCAGACUCCUACGGGAGGCAGCAGUAGGGAAUCUUCCACAAUGGACGAAAGUCUGAUGGAGCAACGCCGCGUGAGUGAUGAAGGUUUUCGGAUCGUAAAACUCUGUUGUAAGGGAAGAACACGUACGAGAGGGAAUGCUCGUACCUUGACGGUACCUUACGAGAAAGCCACGGCUAACUACGUGCCAGCAGCCGCGGUAAUACGUAGGUGGCAAGCGUUGUCCGGAAUUAUUGGGCGUAAAGCGCGCGCAGGCGGCCUUUUAAGUCUGAUGUGAAAGCCCCCGGCUCAACCGGGGAGGGCCAUUGGAAACUGGAAGGCUUGAGUACAGAAGAGAA